rnacentral:rRNA from 1 species
AUUGAACGCUGGCGGCAUGCCUUACACAUGCAAGUCGAACGGUAACAGGUCUUCGGAUGCUGACGAGUGGCGAACGGGUGAGUAAUACAUCGGAACGUGCCCGAUCGUGGGGGAUAACGAAGCGAAAGCUUUGCUAAUACCGCAUACGAUCUACGGAUGAAAGCAGGGGACCGCAAGGCCUUGCGCGAACGGAGCGGCCGACGGCAGAUUAGGUAGUUGGUGGGAUAAAAGCUUACCAAGCCGACGAUCUGUAGCUGGUCUGAGAGGACGACCAGCCACACUGGGACUGAGACACGGCCCAGACUCCUACGGGAGGCAGCAGUGGGGAAUUUUGGACAAUGGGCGAAAGCCUGAUCCAGUCAUGCCGCGUGCAGGAUGAAGGCCUUCGGGUUGUAAACUGCUUUUGUACGGAACGAAAAGACUCUGGUUAAUACCUGGGGUCCAUGACGGUACCGUAAGAAUAAGCACCGGCUAACUACGUG